CGACCGUACCGCAAACCGACACUGGUGCGCGAGAUGAGUAUUCUAAGGCGCUUGAGAGAACUCAGGAGAAGGAACUCGGCAAAUUGACACCGUAACUUCGGAAGAAGGUGUGCCUUUAGUAGGUGAAGUCCCUCGCGGAUGGAGCCCAAUGAGGUUGCAAAAAAUCGGUGGCUGCGACUGUUUAUUAAAAACACAGCACUCUGCAAACACGAAAGUGGACGUAUAGGGUGUGACGCCUGCCCGGUGCUGGAAGAUUAAAUGAUGGGGUGCAAGCUCUUGAUUGAAGUCCCAGUAAACGGCGGCCGUAACAAUAACGGUCCUAAGGUAGCGAAAUUCCUUGUCGGGUAAGUUCCGACCUGCACGAAUGGCGUAACGAUGGCCACACUGUCUCCUCCUGAGACUCAGCGAAGUUGAAAUGUUUGUGAUGAUGCAAUCUCCCCGCGGAAAGACGGAAAGACCCCAUGAACCUUUACUGUAGCUUUGUAUUGGACUUUGAACAGAUCUGUGUAGGAUAGGUGGUAGGCUUUGAAGCAGGGUCGCUAGAUCUUGUGGAGCCAACGUUGAAAUACCACCCUGGUGUGUUUGAGGUUCUAACCUAGGCCCGUAAUCCGGGUUGGGGACAGUGCAUGGUAGGCAGUUUGACUGGGGCGGUCUCCUCCCAAAGUGUAACGGAGGAGUUCGAAGGUACGCUAGUUACGGUCGGACAUCGUGACGAUAGUGCAAUGGCAUAAGCGUGCUUAACUGCGAGACUGACAAGUCGAGCAGAUGCGAAAGCAGGACAUAGUGAUCCGGUGGUUCUGUAUGGAAGGGCCAUCGCUCAACGGAUAAAAGGUACUCUGGGGAUAACAGGCUGAUACCGCCCAAGAGUUCAUAUCGACGGCGGUGUUUGGCACCUCGAUGUCGGCUCAUCUCAUCCUGGGGCUGUAGCCGGUCCCAAGGGUAUGGCUGUUCGCCAUUUAAAGAGGUACGUGAGCUGGGUUUAAAACGUCGUGAGACAGUUUGGUCCCUAUCUUCCGUGGACGCUGCAGAUUUGAGGAAGCCUGCUCCUAGUACGAGAGGACCGGAGUGGACGCACCUCUGGUGUAUCGGUUGUCACGCCAGUGGCAUUGCCGAGUAGCUAUGUGCGGAAGAGAUAACCGCUGAAAGCAUCUAAGCGGGAAACUCGUUUCGAGAUGAGAUCUGCCGGGGCCUUGAGCCCCCUGAAGAGUCGUUCAAGACCAGGACGUUGAUAGGUCGGGUGUGGAAGCGCAGUAAUGCGUUAAGCUAACCGAUACUAAUUGCUCGUGCGGCUUGACC
rnacentral:rRNA from 1 species